CGAUCCUCAGCACCACAUACAAACAAAAAUGUUGUGUCCCCCGAAAACUAAAAAAUAAAUAAUAAAAAAAAAUUCUAAAAAAAAAAAUCUUUGGUUAAAUCACAUACAUCUCUGUAUUUUGAUGUCUUCAUUUCUAAAAUGAGAGCAAUGAUAAUACCUACCUCUAGGGUUAUUGUGAGGAUUAAGUGGCUUAGACACGAAAACACUAACAAAGUUCUUGGCACAGAGUAGGUGCUUGAAGAUUUUAACGAUGGUGAUGAUGAUGAUGAUUAUUCUCUGCAGGAUUUAGCAUAAGCCUAAAGGUCCUUUUUGAUCAUUCUGUCUACAAUGGGAAACAUACAGGAGGAGCAAGAGUGGGUGUAAGUUGACAGGAGCCAAUUGGGAGAAGAUUGAAUUAGGGUGAUGGUUGAAACAGAAAGAAGAAGGUAGACUUGAGAGAAACUUGAGAGGUGACAUCAACAAGUCCUGUUGAUGGAUAGCACACGGGGGAUGAGGACGUGCUCAGAUGACAUAGUAGAAGCCUAACAGUGACAUGUUAAUACAGCACGAAAUCAAUCCUUAUUUUGUUUCCCUGCUUUCCUCUCUUCCAUCUUUUCCUACUAUGAUGUCUCUUUUCUUUCUUGCCAACAUUAAGACACAUCAGAAAUAAAAUAAAAUAAAGGACCAAAAGGAGACACCAGACACAGAAGCAUGAACUAUCUGGCAACAUGUUACAAAAACAGGAGACUUUCCUUCUACCUGAAUCUUGGCUUGUUGGUGCCAAUAUGUGAAGAAAGCAUGGCAACUGAGUGGAAAGAGAAGGGCCUCUUUUACAUCUGCUUAGGUUAGUGAACUGUCUUCGGCCGAGGCUGGUGACCUGUGAUCUCUCUCACCUUCCACAUCAAGGCUGACAUGUGUGGACACAUGGAAUCCUUCACCUUCAGUUCUCCCUCUCUCCUGAUGAAGGGAAGAUGCUUCAUCAGUGCCUCAGUGUCAUGAUGAGUCUGAAUUAUCACUCUGGAGGACUCAAAUGAUGGAGAACAAGGGUUAGCCAUCUUCCCCCUGGCACUUUUUUGGGUAAUUUGCUGGCCCUGAUAUAGAAAUUAAGGGCAACUAAACUGGCUUUUCUUUCCCUCUUUUUAAAAAAUUAUUUUGGCUGUUUAUUUUUUAUCAAUUCAUUAUACGUAA